ACACUUAAGUAUGCUUACUGAAGUUAGAUGGCUUUACAUAUCUGACCAGGUGUGGGAUAGGAUCGCUCUAGGUCUAGCCUCUCAGUAUGGAGUAUGCUUACUACAUAUUCAAAUCUUGCCUCGUAAUAGAAGAUCUGCUGCUUCAGAGAAGGUGGAAGAUAUAGGUAACUUGAAAACUGAGCAGCAUAAAAGGAAGCAACAUGGAUAGGAGUCAAAGGUGGAGAAGAAAGAGCAGAAGCUGUCAAAGGAGUAAAGACGUGAGGCAUGGCACGCUAAAAAGAAAUUGAAAAAGGGACUUUACAAGGGUGAAGUGCAGCAUUCUCAGAGAGUAGCUGCUAUAUCUGGCUCUUCUUCCAAACGUCUGAUAUGAUUGUGCUAAUCAUCAAAUGGUGAAACUUAAGAGUGCAUUGGAUUUUUGUCAAGAAGUGUGGCAUCCCCUCAGCUUUUAUGGUUUGAAGCACGUAUAUGUCAUCAGUUUUGAGAGAAUGGAUACUAGUUGGUUUAAAACAACAUAGAAUCAAGUCAAAUCUAUGUUUAUGAUGUUGUGGGCAUGUCAUAAUAUAUAGGAUAUAUGUUGAGUAGUUCUUUAGAAUCAUAUCUAGUGUGGCUAGAGCUUGAAGAUAAUGAACUGUCUCUCUUCAACAUAUUUCAUUUCUUUUUUUUUUUGGAUAUUUCUAAUGUAGUCAUUAGGUUAUUUUUCUUUUUUCUUUUUUCACAAUGAUAGUUGAACUUCUAAUUCUUUAC